rnacentral:lncRNA from 1 species
AAACACACACAUUUAGAUAAGUGGGUAUGUGCAAGUGGCAAAUGAAUGAUUCUAAGGCACAAAUAAAGUCCUCGUUAUCGAAUUGCACAUGGUUGGAAAAUAAGUAUAGAUCAAUCAUUAAUAUUGAGAGCAUUGGGAACUUUCAAUGAGACUUAAAGAACCGAGGAAUAUUUUAUUAAUUUUCUCCUUUAUUUUUUCUCUUAUUCAUUCAUUUUUCUGUUCUUUCUUCUUUCUUUCUUUUUCCUCAUUUUUCUUUCUGUUUCCUCAUUUUUUUUAUUUUACUCCUUAGAACUUCUUGCAACAUAGUACUUUACUCAGCAGUAGUCAGGGAUAAUGCAAUGAC